rnacentral:rRNA from 1 species
GUCGAACGGUAACAGGUUAAGCUGACGAGUGGCGAACGGGUGAGUAAUAUAUCGGAACGUGCCCAGUAGUGGGGGAUAGCCCGGCGAAAGCCGGAUUAAUACCGCAUACGACCUACGGGUGAAAGGGGGGGAUCGCAAGACCUCUCGCUAUUGGAGCGGCCGAUAUCAGAUUAGCUAGUUGGUGGGGUAAAAGCUCACCAAGGCGACGAUCUGUAGCUGGUCUGAGAGGACGACCAGCCACACUGGGACUGAGACACGGCCCAGACUCCUACGGGAGGCAGCAGUGGGGAAUUUUGGACAAUGGACGCAAGUCUGAUCCAGCCAUGCCGCGUGCGGGAAGAAGGCCUUCGGGUUGUAAACCGCUUUUGUCAGGGAAGAAAAGUUCUGAGCUAAUAACUUGGGAUGAUGACGGUACCUGAAGAAUAAGCACCGGCUAACUACGUGCCAGCAGCCGCG